AGAUUGAACGCUGGCGGCAGGCCUAACACAUGCAAGUCGAGCGGUAGAGAGGUGCUUGCAUCUCUUGAGAGCGGCGGACGGGUGAGUAAUGCCUAGGAAUCUGCCUAGUGGUGGGGGAUAACGUUCGGAAACGGACGCUAAUACCGCAUACGUCCUACGGGAGAAAGCGGGGGACCUUCGGGCCUCGCGCCAUUAGAUGAGCCUAGGUCGGAUUAGCUAGUUGGUGAGGUAAUGGCUCACCAAGGCGACGAUCCGUAACUGGUCUGAGAGGAUGAUCAGUCACACUGGAACUGAGACACGGCCCAGACCUCCGUACGGGAGCAGCAGGUGGGGAAUA
rnacentral:rRNA from 1 species